UACGAAGGGUGCAAACGUUGCUCGGAAUUAUUGGGCGUAAAGCGCACGUAGGCGGCUAUCUAAUUCGGAUGUGAAAUCCCUCGGCUUAACCAAGGAAGUGCACCCGAAACUGGAUAGCUUGAGUACAGAAGAGGAGCGCGGAAUUCCCGGUGUAGAGGUGAAAUUCGUAGAUAUCGGGAGGAACACCAGUGGCGAAGGCGGCGAUCUGGGCUGAUACUGACGCUGAGGUGCGAAAGCGUGGGGAGCAAACAGG
rnacentral:rRNA from 1 species